CGUCAUCUUCAUAAACCAUCCGAACGUCCCACGUAAAAUAUUUGAUCUUACGUUUCGCCUUCGGGACCUGUAAUUUGUCCACGUAAUCAUCCACGUCAGCAAUAAAUUAUACGGCCCAGUAAUCUUAUCUUUAUGUUAAUCUUAAUCUAAAUCUAAACCCUAAUUUCACUCCAACCAAUCUUGAUUUGACUUGUGGCUUCAGCUGAAAUUUAAUUUUGCUGUACAUAUUCUAGCUCUGUUUUAUCUUUAAUAUUGUUCAAUUUUUUUGUUUUUUUUUGUUUUUAUGUCAAAUUGAAAUCGACACUCAAACUGAGGUUCGGAGGUAGUUUUGCUACAUAUUGAGCCUCCUCUUUUUGUUUAUAAAUAUUUGCGAAGAAUUCCUUUUUGAUUGUUUUGAAACUUUUUCAUUUUCUGAAUAUGUUAAAUUGAUGGCAAUUUUUCUCUCUCGUGGGUGGUUCAUUAAACAGUCAAUUUUCAAAUUGGAUAAGAUUCCUUUUUGAAUACUCUAUUUCUUUUAAAUAUUAGGUUUUAUGAUUUGGAAAAAGGUAUUUUCUUGUUGGUAAAGAUUAGGGUUCGAGAUUAGUGUACUGGCUGAUACUCUGUUCGUUGUGUACAGGGUACUAGCAAAUAGCCAUCGAUAGGACAUUCGGGAAUCUGGGAUGACAACGGUUUCAUUUCAAAUUUUUGUCAUUAAUCUUUACCUCUGCUUUUGUUGUUACUGAAUUGAUUAUUUGACAUUUUGAAUAGUGGAUUAGGGUCUUGAGAAUGAAGUGAAUUCUUGAAGAAACAAGCUACUGCUAUUAUCUACGUCCUGUUUAUUUUGGUUCAAGAGUACGUCUGAGGCUUGCUAAGGAGAUGGAUGUUGCUAAACAUUGGUAGUUAGUUCUUUGGAAUUUGGUUGGCAGUAAGUGUGU
rnacentral:lncRNA from 1 species